ensembl:misc_RNA Y_RNA Y RNA
GGCUAGUCCAAUGGCAGUGGAUUUCAGAAUGUAUUAACAUUAGUGUCACUGAAGUUGGUAUACAAUGCCUCACUGCUAAAUUUGACUGGCUAAAA